ACUCAAGGCUCCCUUCUCCUUGAGCUGCAGGAGAAAGGGCAGGGGAUGAUGCUGCAGCUGGUGCAUUUCCUCCUCCAGCAGCAGAAGGAUCUGGUCUCAGCACUGUGAAAAGUCACAGUUCGCAGCUGAGGGAAGAGAAGAUGUGCACCUUGUCAAUCCCAAACCCAGAUUUCCAUAAUUUAGCUCUAUUGGAUGUGCAGGCUGCAGUGUAGUGAGGAGGAAAGAAAGAAAGCCUGAUCCAAUCUCCAGAGGAGAGAAGAAAACGGAACUAUGAAAAGAUUCUUAAGGGUUAGAGCCAAUACAUAGGAUGCUCAAGAACCUAUGUGGAAGAUUUCAAUGCAGAGAUUUCAGUCUAUGGCAAGUCUUACAGAGUAUGUGACCAUAAAUGAAAAUGGAAGGAAUUAGUUGAAAAUA